AUUUCUGCUCCAUGAUAUGUUAAAUAGCCGCAGUACUCUGACUGUGCAAAGGUAGCAUAAUCAGUUGGCUCCUAAUUAGAGUCUGGAAUGAAUGAACACAUGAAGAGUAGCUAUCUUAAGUAUUAUCUUGAAAUUGGCUGUGGGUGAAAAUCCCCACAAUUCUCUAAAAGACGAGAAGACCCUAGAAACUUAUAUUAUUGUUUUGUUGGGGCGACAAAAUUACAUAUAACUAAUUUUAAAUAACGUGACGUAUUCAGAUAGCUAAAGUUACUCUAGGGAUAACAGCAUAAUAUUUUUGUUUGUGACCUCGAUGUUGGACUAGGUAAAGUGUUCUUUAGAAGGGAACAUAUAAGCUCUGUUCGAGCAAGUGAACCU
rnacentral:rRNA from 1 species